rnacentral:rRNA from 1 species
GUCUACAGCCAUGCUACCCUGAACAAGCCCGAUCCCAUCUGAUCUCGGAAGCUAAGCAGGGUUGGGCCUGGUUAGUACUUGGAUGGGAGACCACCUAGGAAGACCAGGUGCUGUAGGCA